UACGUAGGGUCCGAGCGUUGUCCGGAAUUAUUGGGCGUAAAGGGCUCGUAGGCGGCCUGUCGCGUCGGGAGUGAAAACCCGGGGCUCAACCCCGAGCGUGCUUUCGAUACGGGCAGGCUAGAGGUAUGCAGGGGAGAAUGGAAUUCCUGGUGUAGCGGUGGAAUGCGCAGAUAUCAGGAGGAACACCGGUGGCGAAGGCGGUUCUCUGGGCAUCACCUGACGCUGAGGAGCGAAAGCAUGGGGAGCGAACAGG
rnacentral:rRNA from 1 species